AUCGCAACAGGGCAAGAGCAGGAGGCCAGUCAUGUUUUUCGACAAUGUGGUGAUCGCCGGAGUGCUGACUGUCGGCCUCAUGGUUCUGUUUUUCGCAGGGUUUGGAUUCUUUAUCUGGAAAGACGCGAAUAAGCGCAAGAAGCCUUAAGUCUUUCCAGGGCAACGAGCACGCAAGGCAUUUUGGGCAACUUCGGUUGCCCUUUUUUUU
rnacentral:sRNA from 1 species